rnacentral:rRNA from 1 species
GAUUAUGGCUCAGGAUUAACGCUGGCGGCGUGCCUAAUACAUGCAAGUCGAAUGGUAGCAAUACCAUGGCGAACGGGUGAGUAACACGUAGGUAACCUGUCUUUAAGCCGAGGAUAACCAUUGGAAACGAUGGAUAAUACUGGAUAGGACAUUUGAAGGCAUCUUUAGAUGUUUAAAGAUUUAUCACUUAGAGAGGGGCCUGCGGCGCAUUAGCUAGUUGGUGAGGUGAAGGCUUACCAAGGCGAUGAUGCGUAGCCGGACUGAGAGGUUGAACGGCCACAAUGGAACUGAGAACGGUCCAUACUCCUACGGGAGGCAGCAGUAGGGAAUUUUCGGCAAUGGGCGGAAGCCUGAACCCGAGCAACGCCGCGUGAACGAAGAAGUAUUUCGGUAUGUAAAGUUCUUUUAUUAGGGACGAAAAGACAGAUUGACGGUACCUAAUGAAUAAGCUCCGGCUAACUACGUGCCAGCAGCAGC